GUGCCAGCCGCCGCGGUAAUUCCAGCUCCAAUAGCGUAUAUUAAAGUUGUUGUGGUUAAAAAGCUCGUAGUUGAACCUUGGGCCUGGCUGGCCGGUCCGCCUCACCGCGUGCACUGGUCCGGCCGGGCCUUUCCCUCUGUGGAACCCCAUACCCUUCACUGGGCGUGGCGGGGAAACAGGACAUUUACUUUGAAAAAAUUAGAGUGCUCCAGGCAGGCCUAUGCUCGAAUACAUUAGCAUGGAAUAAUAAAAUAGGACGCGCGGUUCUAUUUUGUUGGUUUAUAGGACCGCCGUAAUGAUUAAUAGGGACAGUCGGGGGCAUCAGUAUUCAACUGUCAGAGGUGAAAUUCUUGGAUCAGUUGAAGACUAACUACUGCGAAAGCAUUUGCCAAGGAUGUUUUCAUUAAUCAGGAACGAAAGUUAGGGGACCGAAGACGAUCAGAUACCGUCGUAGUCUUAACCAUAAACUAUGCCGACUAGGGAUCGGACGGUGUUAUUCAUGACCCGUUCGGCACCUUACGAGAAAUCAAAGUGCUUGGGCUCCAGGGGGAGUAUGGUCGCAAGGCUGAAACUUAAAGAAAUUGACGGAAGGGCACCACCAGGGGUGGAGCCUGCGGCUUAAUUUGACUCAACACGGGGAAACUCACCAGGUCCAGACACAAUAAGGAUUGACAGAUUGAGAGCUCUUUCUUGAUUUUGUGGGUGGUGGUGCAUGGCCGUUCUUAGUUGGUGGGGUGACUUGUCUGCUUAAUUGCGAUAACGAACGAGACCUUAACCUGCUAAAUAGCCCGCAUUGCUCCGGCAGUGCGCUGGCUUCUUAGAGGGACU
rnacentral:rRNA from 1 species